rnacentral:rRNA from 1 species
AGAGUUUGAUCCUGGCUCAGGAUGAACGCUAGCUACAGGCUUAACACAUGCAAGUCGCGGGGUAACAUCUGGGAGAGCUUGCUCUUCCAGGAUGACGACCGGCGCACGGGUGAGUAACGCGUAUCCAACCUGGCCCAUACCACGGGAUAGCCCGUCGAAAGGCGGAUUAAUACCGUAUGCUGUCAUUAAGAUGCAUAUAUUGAUGGUCAAAGGAGCAAUCCGGUAUGGGGUGAGCUCGCGUCCCAUUAGGUAGUUGGUGAGGUAACGGCCCACCAAGCCGACGAUGGGUAGCCGACCUGAGAGGGUGAUCGGCCACACUGGAACUGAGACACGGUCCAGACUCCUACGGGAGGCAGCAGUGGGAAUAUUGGGCAAUGGGCGAAAGCCUGACCCAGCAACGCCGCGUGAGGGAAGAAGGUUUUCGGAUUGUAAACCUCUGUCCUUGGUGACGAAGGAAGUGACGGUAACCAAGGAGGAAGCCCCGGCUAACUACGUGCCAGCAGCCGCGGUAAUACGUAGGGGGCAAGCGUUGUCCGGAAUGACUGGGCGUAAAGGGCGCGUAGGCGGCUUUUUAAGUUAGAAGUGGAAGUCCUGCUUUCAAGGUGGGAAUUGCUUUUAAUACUGGAAGGCUUGAGUGCAGAAGAGGUAAGUGGAAUUCCCAGUGUAGCGGUGAAAUGCGUAGAGAUUGGGAAGAACACCAGUGGCGAAGGCGACUUACUGGGCUGUAACUGACGCUGAGGCGCGAAAGCGUGGGGAGCAAACAGGAUUAGAUACCAUGGUAGUCCACGCGGUAAACGAUGAAUGCUAGGUGUAGGGGGUAUCGACCCCUCCUGUGCCGCAGUCAACACAAUAAGCAUUCCGCCUGGGGAGUACGGCCGCAAGGUUGAAACUCAAAGGAAUUGACGGGGGCCCGCACAAGCAGCGGAGCAUGUGGUUUAAUUCGACGCAACGCGAAGAACCUUACCAGGUCUUGACAUCGAUGUAAAGCAUGUAGAGAUACAUGUGACUCUUCGGAGGACAGAAGACAGGUGCUGCAUGGUUGUCGUCAGCUCGUGUCGUGAGAUGUUGGGUUAAGUCCCGCAACGAGCGCAACCCUUAUGAUCAGUUACUAACAGGUAAAGCUGAGGACUCUGAUAAGACUGCCGGGGACAACUCGGAGGAAGGUGGGGACGACGUCAAAUCAUCAUGCCCCUUAUGGCCUGGGCUACACACGUGCUACAAAGGUGUCUACAAAGAGGAGCGAAAUCGUAAGGUAGAGCGGAUCUCAAAAAAGACAUCUCAGUUCGGACUGUGGGCUGCAACCCGCCCACACGAAGUUGGAGUUGCUAGUAAUCGCGGAUCAGAAUGCCGCGGUGAAUACGUUCCCGGGCCUUGUACACACCGCCCGUCACACCAUGGGAGUUGAGAGCACCCGAAGUCGGUAUGGUAACCGCAAGGAGCCCGCCGCCGAAGGUGAGAUCGAUGACUGGGGUGAAGUCGUAACAAGGUA